AGGGUCGCUGCAGCGCGCGAGCCGGAGGGCAUAAGUGAAACCCUGCCGCGCAAUGAAGGUGAGGGCCAGCACGCCCCGGCUGAGGUGGGACCCUCACGCCGCCGACGGGCGGCAGCGG